ensembl:snRNA U6 U6 spliceosomal RNA
GUGCUCGCUUCAGCAGCACUUAUACUAAAAUUGGAACAAUACAGAGAUUAGCAUGGCACCUGCACAAGAAUGACACGCAAAUUCAUGAAGCAUUCCGUAUUUUU